GACGAACGCUGGCGGCGUGCCUAAUACAUGCAAGUAGAACGCACAGUUUAUACCGUAGCUUGCUACACCAUAGACUGUGAGUUGCGAACGGGUGAGUAACGCGUAGGUAACCUGCCUGGUAGCGGGGGAUAACUAUUGGAAACGAUAGCUAAUACCGCAUCAUAUUAAUUAUUGCAUGAUAAUUAAUUGAAAGGUGCAAUUGCACCACUACCAGAUGGACCUGCGUUGUAUUAGCUAGUAGGUGAGGUAACGGCUCACCUAGGCGACGAUACAUAGCCGACCUGAGAGGGUGAUCGGCCACACUGGGACUGAGACAAGGCCCAGACUCCUACGGGAGGCAGCAGUAGGGAAUCUUCGGAAAAGGACGAAAGUCUGACCGAGCAAAGCCGCGUGAGUGAAGAAGGUUUUCGGAUCGUAAAGCUCUGUUGUAAGAGAAGAAAGGGUGUGAGAGUGGAAAGUUCACACUGUGACGGUAUCUUACCAGAAAGGGACGGCUAACUACGUG
rnacentral:rRNA from 1 species